ensembl:lncRNA
UUCACUUCUCCUCCUCUCCGUCUGCAGGCCGACCUGUUUCCUGGUGCCCUGGUGUACUUUGGAUCUGACGCUAAGACAGAUUUUUACAUGAAGACGGACCUGCUUGAGUCGUCUGUCUCUGCCUUACAAGCUAAUGAGUCCAUUGCCAGCUGCAUGCAGCGCUCCCCGACGGCCUCCUCCGCCUGUGAAGGCUCAGAGGAGCCGCUGCCCCCUCCGGAGCCCACGGAGGAAACCAGCGGGUCCACGCGGGGCGAGGCAGACCCUACUGCACCCACCCGGGCGGCUAGGCCCACCGGGUCUGACCCGGGAAAGGUGCCCAAGUGGCUCAAGCUUCCAGGUGAGGACGGGACAGAGCAGGGACGUCAAAUUCAUCCACAGACAGGGACAACAUUAAAACAACUGGGACUGAGUCGAAGUCCUAACAGGGUCAUUAUUUGUCAAACGGGAUGGAAACGACAUUGGAUUAUUACAUUGGAGAUAUAGUUUAUAAAUGUUCUGUGGGAACCCUCCAGAUGGAGUGUGGACUGUGCGCAUCGGUAGGACGAGUGCAGCUGGUUUAUCGCUAAUGCAAGUAUCCAAAGGCUCACACCGUCCCGUCCGGCUUCAGGGUCAGAAGGAUUCUAUCUGGCUUCUUAAGCGCCUCAUCGUGACUUCCUGUGACACAUUGGUCACACUUGACAGAUAUUGUGGUCCCUGAUCUAGUUCUGCAGUACACGUGGGAGAUGUCUUUGCUUGUCAACAACUUAUUUUUUCUUUGUGUGCAGCAAAACAUGUUACACAAGCAUGUGUGUUUCUGGUGGCGGCUGCACUGAUGGUUUUGUUUCUCCCAUUUUUUUCGUGUGCGCGUUUUAAUUUCUGGUUGAU